GCGCAGCACGGGAGCUUGCUCUGGUGGCGAGUGGCGAACGGGUGAGUAAUAUAUCGGAACGUACCCUAGAGUGGGGGAUAACGUAGCGAAAGUUACGCUAAUACCGCAUACGAUCUAAGGAUGAAAGUGGGGGAUCGCAAGACCUCAUGCUCGGGGAGCGGCCGAAAUCUGAUUAGCUAGUUGGUAGGGUAAAAGCCUACCAAGGCAUCGAUCAGUAGCUGGUCUGAGAGGACGACCAGCCACACUGGAACUGAGACACGGUCCAGACUCCUACGGGAGGCAGCAGUGGGGAAUUUUGGACAAUGGGCGAAAGCCUGAUCCAGCAAUGCCGCGUGAGUGAAGAAGGCCUUCGGGUUGUAAAGCUCUUUUGUCAGGGAAGAAACGGUGAGAGCUAAUAUCUCUUGCUAAUGACGGUACCUGAAGAAUAAGCACCGGCUAACUACGUGCCAGCAGCCGCGGUAAUACGUAGGGUGCAAGCGUUAAUCGGAAUUACUGGGCGUAAAGCGUGCGCAGGCGGUUUUGUAAGUCUGAUGUGAAAUCCCCGGGCUCAACCUGGGAAUUGCAUUGGAGACUGCAAGGCUAGAAUCUGGCAGAGGGGGGUAGAAUUCCACGUGUAGCAGUGAAAUGCGUAGAUAUGUGGAGGAACACCGAUGGCGAAGGCAGCCCCCUGGGUCAAGAUUGACGCUCAUGCACGAAAGCGUGGGGAGCAAACAGGAUUAGAUACCCUGGUAGUCCACGCCCUAAACGAUGUCUACUAGUUGUCGGGUCUUAAUUGACUUGGUAACGCAGCUAACGCGUGAAGUAGACCGCCUGGGGAGUACGGUCGCAAGAUUAAAACUCAAAGGAAUUGACGGGGACCCGCACAAGCGGUGGAUGAUGUGGAUUAAUUCGAUGCAACGCGAAAAACCUUACCUACCCUUGACAUGGCUGGAAUCCUCCAGAGAUUGAGGAGUGCUCGAAAGAAAACCAGUACACAGGUGCUGCAUGGCUGUCGUCAGCUCCUGUCGUGAGAUGUUGGGUUAAGUCCCGCAACGAGCGCAACCCUUGUCAUUAGUUGCUACAAAAGGGCACUCUAAUGAAACUGCCGGUGACAAACCGGAGGAAGGUGGGGAUGACGUCAAGUCCUCAUGGCCCUUAUGGGUAGGGCUUCACACGUCAUACAAUGGUACAUACAGAGCGCCGCCAACCCGCGAGGGGGAGCUAAUCGCAGAAAGUGUAUCGUAGUCCGGAUUGUAGUCUGCAACUCGACUGCAUGAAGUUGGAAUCGCCUAGUAAUCGC
rnacentral:rRNA from 1 species